rnacentral:rRNA from 1 species
ACCCGCUGAACUUAAGCAUAUCAAUAAGCGGAGGAAAAGAAACCAACAGGGAUUGCCUCAGUAACGGCGAGUGAAGCGGCAAGAGCUCAAAUUUGAAAUCUGGCUCCGUUCGGGGUCCGAGUUGUAAUUUGGAGAGGAUGCUUCGGGACUGGCCCCCGUCUAAGUGCCCUGGAACGGGCCGUCAUAGAGGGUGAGAAUCCCGUCUGGGAUGGGUGGCCUGGCCCGUGUGAAGCUCCUUCGACGAGUCGAGUUGUUUGGGAAUGCAGCUCUAAAUGGGUGGUAAAUUUCAUCUAAAGCUAAAUAUUGGCCGGAGACCGAUAGCGCACAAGUAGAGUGAUCGAAAGAUGAAAAGCACUUUGAAAAGAGAGUUAAACAGCACGUGAAAUUGUUGAAAGGGAAGCGCUUGCAACCAGACUCGCCCGGGGGGGCUCAACCGGCACUCGUGCCGGUGCACUCCCCCCCGGGCGGGCCAGCGUCGGUUUGGGCGGUCGGUCAAAGGUCCCCGGAAUGUAUCACCUCUCGGGGUGUCUUAUAGCCGGGGAUGCCAUGCGACCAGCCCGGACCGAGGAACGCGCUUCGGCUCGGACGCUGGCGUAAUGGUUGUAAGCGGCCCGUCUUGAAACACGG